rnacentral:rRNA from 1 species
GUGGAUUAGGCAUGCAAGUCGAACGGGCUGGUUUUCGGAUCAGGUCAGUGGCGCAAGGGUGAGUAAGGCGACGGUAACCAACCCCACGGUUGGGUAUAGCCGCGGGAAGCUGCGGGUAAUCCCCAGCGAUGUAGAUACCGGCAUCGGUGUUUUAUCAAAGCUCCGGCGCCGUGGGACGGGCCGUCGUGGUAUUAGGUAGUUGGCGGGGUAACGGCCCACCAAGCCGAUGAUGCCUACCGGGCGUGCGAGCGUGGCCCGGCACACUGGGACUGAGACACUGCCCAGACUCCUACGGGAGGCUGCAGUCGAGAAUCUUCGGCAAUGGGCGCAAGCCUGACCGAGCGACGCCGCGUGGAGGAUGAAGGCCUUCGGGUUGUAAACUCCUGUCGAGGGGGAGGAAGGCGCAAGCUUGACCGAUCCCUGGAGGAAGCACGGGNUAAGUUCGUGCCAGCAGCCGCGGUAAGACGAACCGUGCGAACGUUAUUCGGAAUCACUGGGCUUAAAGCGCGUGUAGGCGGAUGGGAACGUCGGUGACUGAAAGCCCCCGGCUCAACCGGGGAAGUGGUGCCGAAACGACCCGUCUGGAGGGACGUAGGGGGAUCUGGAACUUCCGGUGGAGCGGUAAAAUGCGCUGAGAUCGGAAGGAACGCCCGUGGCGAAAGCGAGAUCCUGGACGUCUGCUGACGCUGAGACGCGAAAGCUAGGGGAGCAAACGGGAUUAGAUACCCCGGUAGUCCUAGCCGUAAACGAUGGGCACUGGGUAGGGGGCUCGCCGAUGGGCUCUCUGCCGUAGCGAAAGCGUGAAGUGCCCCGCCUGGGGAGUAUGGUCGCAAGGCUGAA